UAGGCCUAGACCUGAUUGAUUGAAAACA
rnacentral:piRNA from 1 species